CCUACGGGGGGCAGCAGUGGGGAAUAUUGCACAAUGGGGGGAACCCUGAUGCAGCGACGCCGCGUGAGUGAAGAAGUAUUUCGGUAUGUAAAGCUCUGUCAGCAGGGAAGAAGAAAGACGGUACCUGACCAAGAAGCCCCGGCUAACUACGUGCCAGCAGCCGCGGUAGUACGUAGGGGGCAAGCGUUAUCCGGAUUUACUGGGUGUAAGGGGAGCGUAGACGGCAGGGCAAGUCUGGAGUGAAAGGCAGGGGACCAACCCCUGGACUGCUCUGGACACUGUCCGGCUGGAGUGCAGGAGAGGUAAGUGGAAUUCCUAGUGUAGCGGUGAAAUGCGUAGAUAUUAGGAGGAACACCAGUGGCGAAGGCGGCUUACUGGACUGUAACUGACGUUGAGGCUCGAAAGCGUGGGGAGCAAACAGGAUUAGAUACCCUUGUAGUC
rnacentral:rRNA from 1 species